UGUGAGAGUGAUGAGUUGCACUAUUGAAGGAGUAGUAAUGCAGUGACAUAGCUGCUCCUUUCUGAACCCUGAGGACUAAACAAUGUGCACAGGGGCCAUCUGACUCACA